UUACCGUUCACAGAAGCAGAGCGUCAGUUUUGAAAGAGUGAGGUACCACAGCAUGUGCUCACUGGGAUUGGAUUCAUUUGAUGGGUCAGUCAAUACUUUCAAUUUUAAUGCACUUCAAUU